rnacentral:rRNA from 1 species
CAGUAGCCGCGGGAAUACGUAGGUGGCAAGCGUUAUCCGGAAUUAUUGGGCGUAAAGCGCGCGUAGGCGGUUUCUUAAGUCUGAUGUGAAAGCCCACGGCUCAACCGUGGAGGGUCAUUGGAAACUGGGAAACUUGAGUGCAGAAGAGGAAAGUGGAAUUCCAUGUGUAGCGGUGAAAUGCGCAGAGAUAUGGAGGAACACCAGUGGCGAAGGCGACUUUCUGGUCUGUAACUGACGCUGAUGUGCGAAAGCGUGGGGAUCAAACAGGAUUAGAUACCCGUGUAGUCCCUGUCUCUUAUAA